GUCUAGGGCCAUACCACCUUGAAUGAGAUUUAUCUUGUCUGAUCUUGAAGACUAAGCAGGGUUGGGCCUGGUUAGUACUUGGAUGGGAGGCUCUGGGUACUGAGGAGUAAAGGUGCUUUUAAAA
ensembl:rRNA 5S_rRNA 5S ribosomal RNA